UUGAACGCUGGCGGCAGGCCUAACACAUGCAAGUCGAGCGGAUGAAGGGAGCUUGCUCCUGGAUUCAGCGGCGGACGGGUGAGUAAUGCCUAGGAAUCUGCCUGGUAGUGGGGGAUAACGCCCGGAAACGGGCGCUAAUACCGCAUACGUCCUGAGGGAGAAAGCGGGGGAUCUUCGGACCUCACGCUAUCAGAUGAGCCUAGGUCGGAUUAGCUAGUUGGUGGGGUAAAGGCCUACCAAGGCGACGAUCCGUAACUGGUCUGAGAGGAUGAUCAGUCACACUGGAACUGAGACACGGUCCAGACUCCUACGGGAGGCAGCAGUGGGGAAUAUUGGACAAUGGGCGAAAGCCUGAUCCAGCCAUGCCGCGUGUGUGAAGAAGGUCUUCGGAUUGUAAAGCACUUUAAGUUGGGAGGAAGGGCAGUAAGUUAAUACCUUGCUGUUUUGACGUUACCAACAGAAUAAGCACCGGCUAACUUCGUG
rnacentral:rRNA from 1 species